rnacentral:rRNA from 1 species
GACGAACGCUGGCGGCGUGCUUAACACAUGCAAGUCGAACGAUGAAGCCCAGCUUGCUGGGUGUAAGAGUGGCGAACGGGUGAGUAACACGUGAGUACCCUGCCCUGAACUCUGGGAUAAGCACUGGAAACGGUGACUAAUACUGGAUACGACCUAUCACCGCAUGGUGUGUGGGUGGAAAGAUUUAUCGGUUCUGGAUGGGCUCGCGGCCUAUCAGCUAGAUGGUGGGGUAAUGGCUCACCAUGGCGACGACGGGUAGCCGGCCUGAGAGGGGGACCGGCCACACUGGGACUGAGACACGGCCCAGACUCGUACGGGAGGCAGCAGUGGGGAAUAUUGCACAAUGGGCGCAAGCCUGAUGCAGCAACGCCGCGUUAGGGAUGACGGCCUUCGGGUUGUAAACCUCUUUUAGUAGGGAAGAAGCGAAAGUGACGGUACCUGCAGAAAAAGCACCGGCUAACUACGUG